rnacentral:rRNA from 1 species
AAAGGUAGCAUAAUCAAUUGGCUUAUAAUUGAAGUCUAGUAUGAAUGGGAAUCCGGAAAGUUACUGUCCCAAAUAAGACUAUAUAAAUUACUUAAUGAGUGAAAAGUCUCAUAAGAAGAAGAAAGACGAGAAGACCCUAGAAAUUUUAUAUAUAUUCUAUGUAUUAUUUUGUUGGGGCGACAUAGUAACAAAUAACUUACUAUUAUAUACAAGAAACUACUAAGUUGAGAGAAUAAAUUACUCUAGGGAUAACAGCAUUAUUCAUUGUGAGUUUAUGACCUCGAUGUUGGACUAGGAAAUAAUUUGUUUAAAAGAUAAAUUAAUGGGCUCUGUUCGAGCUAUUAAUCCUACAU